UGCCUGUGAGCUGUGGUGGAAGCCGGAA
rnacentral:piRNA from 1 species